rnacentral:tRNA from 1 species
GAAGGUAUAGCUUAUUGGUAGUGUGCAUGCUUAGCAUUCAUGGGGUCCUGGGUUCAGUCCCCAGUACCUCCC